UGGGGAAUAUUGGACAAUGGGCGGAAGCCUGAUCCAGCCAUGCCGCGUGUGUGAAUAAGGCCUUUUGGUUGUAAAUCACUUUAAGCGAGGAGGAGGCUACUUGGAUUAAUACUCUAGGAUAGUGGACGUUAUUCGCAGAAUAAGCACCGGCUAACUCUGUGCCAUCAGCGGCGGUAAUACAGAGUGUGCGAGCGUUCAUCGGAUUUACUGGGCGUAAAGCGUGCGUAGGCGGCUUCUUAAGUCGGUUGUGAAAUCCCUGAGCUUAACUGAGGGAAUGCAUUCGAUACUGGGAAGCUAGAGUAUGGGAGAGGAUGGUAGAAAUCCAGGUGUAGCGGUGAAAUGCGUAGAGAUCUGGAGGAAUACCGAUGGCGAAGGCAGACAUCUGGCCUAAUAAUGACGCUGAGGUACGAAAGCAUGGGGAGCAAACAGG
rnacentral:rRNA from 1 species